CCUACGGGGGGCAGCAGUGAGGAAUAUUGGUCAAUGGACGAGAGUCUGAACCAGCCAAGUAGCGUGAAGGAUGACGGCCCUAUGGGUGGUAAACUUCUUUUAUAAAGGAAUAAAACGAGGCACGUGUGCCUUUUUGCAUGUACUUUAUGAAUAAGGAUCGGCUAACUCCGGGCCAGCAGCCGCGGUAAUACGGGGGGGCCGAGCGUUAUCCGGGUUUAUUGGGUUUAAAGGGAGCGUAGAUGGGUUGUUAAGUCAGUUGUGAAAGUUUUCGGCUCAACCGUAAAAUUGCAAUUGAAACUGGCAGUCUUGAGUACAGUUGAGGUAGGCGGAAUUCGUGGUGUAGCGGUGAAAUGCUUAGAUAUCACGAAGAACCCCGAUUGCGAAGGCAGCUUACUAAACUGUGACUGACAUUGAUGCUCGAAAGUGUGGGUAUCAAACAGGAUUAGAUACCCGGGUAGUC
rnacentral:rRNA from 1 species